AGAGAGAGACAUGCGCGCAUAUCAAUAAGCGGAGGAAAAGAAACUAACUAGGAUUCCCUCAGUAACGGCGAGUGAAGCGGGAAGAGCUCAAAUUUGAAAUCUUCAAGGUUCUACCUCGACGAAUUGUAGUUUAAAGAAGUGUCUUCUGUUGGAAUUUUCGGUAAAAGUUCUUUGGAAAUAGGACAUCAAUAGAGGGUGAGAAUCCCGUAUUUGACCAUUUCUUCCAGCUGUGUGAUACACUUUCAAAGAGUCGGAUUGUUUGGGAAUGCAGUCCAAAAUGGGUGGUAAAUUUCAUCUAAAGCUAAAUAUUGGCGAGAGACCGAUAGCGAACAAGUACCGUGAGGGAAAGAUGAAAAGAACUUUGAAAAGAGAGUUAAACAGUACGUGAAAUUGUCAAAAGGGAAGCGUUUGACACCAGUGUUGUUUUUCUCGAAAAUCAAUUAAAAGAUGUUUAUUUUUGAGUAGUUAUGACUUCAUCAGCUUGCACUUCUUUCUUUACGUACUUUCUUAAUGCACUUUUCGUUAACAAGUCAACAUCAAUUUCUUUUGUUGUAAAAGGGUAAUAGGAAGGUGGCUUCACUUUCGUUGAGAAGUGUUUAUAGCCUUUUAGCCUCUGCAAUCGGAGAGAUUGAGGUCUGCAGCGUAGACUCUUCGGGGUUAGAUACAUUUGUGCUAAGUUAUAGCUUUUCAUAGACAACUUGUUGACUAUGAUUAGUCAUUGUAGCUUACUCGCUUACUGCUAUUUUACCUACGCUUAGGAUGUUGACAGCAGUAUAGACUGU
rnacentral:rRNA from 1 species